CCGAGACGAGCCCCCCCCCACCCCCCCCCUCCCCGGCAGCGCAUCCCUCCCGCCCGCGGCCGGGGACGGCGGACUCGGAGCGGAGCGGGGGCUGCCCGCACCCGGAGGGGGGGCCGCAAGUUGGCAGCAAGUUUCCCGGCCCCGCGUUGUAGGGCCGGGCCCGGCGGCGGCGCGGCCAACAAAGGUCGCACGGAGAGGAGCGGAGAGAAGCGCUCCCGGCGCGGCGGCCCCAAACUUUGCCGGGAGGGCACCGAGCAGUGCGGGGAAACCUCCCGGCGGGACGGAGCCGCACGGAGAGCAGCAUCCGAGCAUCCCCGCUUCCCCCCCACGCCGUGACAGCGGAGAGCUGGACAACAUUAAAGGCCUUUAAAGCCCACGAGGCUCUGACCCCACAGCGGUGGGAUGAGGUUCGCUUCUCCCCCCCCCGACCCCCCCAUUCGCCCUCACCUCCUGGCGGCGCGCAGAACGCAACUUGGCUGCACUAGUUUAUGGGCACAUCCACACGGAGCAGCCACGAAGCACUCGAUAUCGUCGUGCCCACCGGCCGAAAGAAAUCCCCCCCGAAGAAAACAUCUUCAGCACAACGAGCACAUCCCCUCCGAGUCCCAGUCUGCGUCAUGCCCAGCAAGCUGAGCCUCCUCAGGCAGAUCUCUGCUAUAUGAUUAUGAACCAGAGCAAUCGCUGCCUACAUCAGGAACUAUGGAACAGGACAUCGGCCAGACCUGAACCAUAAUAAAAGGGGGGAAAAAACACAACACAAGAGAACUCACCAACAAAGAAAUGCUGGGGGAGAAAACAAAGAUAAACAAGCAAGAGGGAGUGCUGGGAAGGAGAGAGGAAAUGGAAGGAAGAAAGAAAGGAAGCAGAGAUCAUUGCUCUGAAUGUUUCUGACAUAAACCUUUCUUUUCCCUUACCCUAGCCCUAGCUUAGAGCACUUACCAUACUGUGUUUGCCACUUAGUGCCUAUCUCCUUCUCCCUAGUUUCCUUCAUCCCAUGUUUUCUGAGCUCCCAGCUUGGUGUGAGGAAUCACGGUCCAAAAAGGGGGAAAAAAAAGUUACCAUUACCGCUGUAUUAAUAUCGUAUUGCUGCAUUAGUGUAUGGAUGUCACUGUGUUAUUGUAGAUUCAUCUGUAAAAUUAUGUUCUUGUAGUAAGUUCAACUAAUUGCAAGAAGCAGCAAGCCAAACAAAUGGUUUGAGGGGAUCUUUGAAACUUUCCUAUGGUCAUCUUGAAGCCUUGCUUUGUACAAAUUGCGAGGAUGUAGAACAAAAGCUGUUGUCUUAUCAGAAACUGGAGAAAAUGAGGAAUUUGGAAUCAAUGACGAGUCAGCUCGAGCUGAAACUAAGACAAUACGUAACUACAAGCCUUGUUCAGCUCUUCUCAAGCUGAGAAUCAGGAUGUAAGUCCGAAUACCCCCACGUGAUGAGAAAAAUGAAGCCUCCCCCCGCCAGCCCUUCCCUUUGCAUUUCUCUUGCUCUGUUCCUUUGAGGGGUGCCCAAACCAAAAAGGUUCAGGCAAAACAGGGCAGUUGGGGUUGAAAUGAACCAAAAGGCUCUGACUUCCAUUUAGGUGUGGGAAACAUCUCAAAUUAUAAAUUCUUAUCUGAAUUUUUGUGUGCUAGUGAUUUUUUGUUGCUAUAGUGGUCCUCCAGUUCAAGAGAUGAACCAAAAAAUCAAUUAUCCACCCAGCUCAAGUUAGAAAUACCAUAACUCACGAAUAUUACAGAAUCCACAGGUCUUUAUAUACAAGCAAAUGGGCAGAAAGAAAGCCUUAAACUAAGGAGAUGAUUUAAAAAAAAUAAAAUAAUAAAACCCAUCAAAUGAUAACACUUCAGCCUGAUGCCUUUGGCAGCUGCUGCAAUAUUGUAAGUAAAGGAAGUGCUGGAAAAUAAAGUGAGCUUUUCAUGUUU